AAACUGGACUGCUUUGUAUAGAAUACU
rnacentral:piRNA from 1 species